rnacentral:rRNA from 1 species
CAGCCGCCGCGGUAAUACAGAGGAUGCAAGCGUUAUCCGGAAUGAUUGGGCGUAAAGCGUCUGUAGGUGGCUUUUCAAGUCCGCCGUCAAAUCCCAGGGCUCAACCGUGGACAGGCGGUGGAAACUACCAAGCUGGAGUACGGUAGGGGCAGAGGGAAUUUCCGAUGGAGCGGUGAAAUGCGUUGAGAUCGGAAAGGACACCAACGGAGAAAGCACUCUGCUGGGCCGACACUGACACUGAGAGACGAAAUCUAGGGGAGCAAAUGGGAUUAGAGACCCCUGUAGUCCCUGUCUCUUAUCC